CAGAAGGCUGACUGACUUGGAAAAUUUAAAACACCACCUGGCGACCAACUGUGUGUGUGUGUGUGUGUGUGUGUACAUAUGGACACACCUGAAGCGUGUGUAGCCUUCAAAAUGCUCAAUUCGACUCUUUGCAACGCUCUUCAAAAAGGGCGGAUGCGGUCUGGCACACUGCAAUGGGCGCCCAUCGAAAAUCGGACGUUGAACUCGGGCUCUUUUCAUUCUCAUGCGCCGCCGCUACAGAACGGAAUUUCACUGACCACAAUCGACUCCCGUCGUCUCACUCGGUAUCAAAUUGACAUCACCCCCAGAAUUAGCCAAUUCUUUUGCUCACAGUGAUUUAUUAAUGAAGGAACACUUUUGAUUGAGACACAGCGAAAUAGGAUGUGGCUUCGAAUUUAAAAGACAUAAGGAAUCAUUCGGUAAGGAACCCGCUUGCAAUAUUCAACCCAGGCUGGGCCGUACUUGUCCAUACAUUUAUCCUCGUCGCGGUAGCAGCGAUGC